rnacentral:rRNA from 1 species
UACGAAGGGGGCGAGCGUUGUUCGGAUUUACUGGGCAUAAAGGGCGCGCAGGCGGCUUAUUUUGUCAGGCGUGAAAGCCCCGGGCUUAACCUGGGAACUGCGUUUGAUACGGAUGGGCUAGAGUUCGGGAGAGGAGAGUGGAAUUCCCAGUGUAGAGGUGAAAUUCGUAGAUAUUGGGAAGAACACCGGUGGCGAAGGCGGCUCUCUGGACCGAUACUGACGCUGAGGCGCGAAAGCGUGGGGAGCAAACAGG